rnacentral:rRNA from 1 species
AGAGUUUGAUCAUGGCUCAGAUUGAAGCGGGGAACAGGCCUAACACAUGCAAGUCGAGCGGGGUUUUCGGACUUAAAGGCGGACGGGUGAGUAAUGCGUAGGAAGCUACCCGAUAGAGGGGGAUACCAGUUGGAAACGACUGUUAAUACCGCAUAAUGUCUACGGACCAAAGUGUGGGACCUUCGGGCCACAUGCUAUCGGAUGCGCCUACGUGGGAUUAGCUAGUUGGUGAGGUAAUGGCUCACCAAGGCGACGAUCUCUAGCUGGUUUGAGAGGAUGAUCAGCCACACUGGAACUGAGACACGGUCCAGACUCCUACGGGAGGCAGCAGUGGGGAAUAUUGGACAAUGGGCGCAAGCCUGAUCCAGCCAUGCCGCGUGUGUGAAGAAGGCCUUCGGGUUGUAAAGCACUUUCAGCGAGGAGGAAGAGUUGUGUGUUAAUAGUACACAGCUUUGACGUUACUCGCAGAAGAAGCACCGGCUAACUCUGUGCCAGCAGCCGCGGUAAUACAGAGGGUGCAAGCGUUAAUCGGAAUUACUGGGCGUAAAGCGCACGUAGGCGGUUUUUUAAGUCAGAUGUGAAAGCCCCGGGCUCAACCUGGGAAUUGCAUUUGAAACUGGAAAACUAGAGUGUGUGAGAGGGGGGUAGAAUUCCAAGUGUAGCGGUGAAAUGCGUAGAGAUUUGGAGGAAUACCAGUGGC